UUUUCCCUUCCCUCAUUUCUUUCCUCUCUCCCCCGUUCCCCUUCCCAGUUGCGAUUUCCAGGAUUUCGGCCGCAUCUCCGACCGGCGACGGCGUGAUCUCCGAUGAUCGGCGGUGGAAGGUUUUCGUUUGGUCUUAUUUUGGCGUGAUCUCAGUGUAGUUGAAGGCAACUGUAUUUGUUGACCUCUUUUCGUUUAUCAGAGGUCACAUUUCAUAAAUUUCCCCUCCACCCUUUUCUAUAAUAUUUACAUAAAAAUGCAUAUAUUUCGACGUGGUGGACGUAGACGGCGACCACAGGACCAGACACAUCCAUCACUUGCCAGUGAACCUAUGCCACCCCCUACUCAGGCAGGCCCAUCCCAUGUGUCUUCUCCACCGGCAUCAUAUUCCCCUGCCAGUGUACCUAUGCCACCCCUUCAUCAGCCGGGCCCAUCUCAUCUACCUUCUGCACCGGUUUCAUAUUCGCCGCCACAAGUACCUUACCCAGAGCAGUUACCUGUCCACUCAGA